GUAAAAUCCCAGUACAGGGGUGGGACAGUCCUAGAUAAGACAACCUGUUUUGUGUGGUAGUGGAGAGGUCUGCUGCUGUUCUGUAUUGAUCUGUGUGCUGCAGUAUUUGUAGGUAAAACAGUGUAUUGAAAGCUGCUGGGCAAAGCUCUGCUGUGCUGAAUCUCUGGCAAGCUUCAGUAACACAAAUAUGAUGUUGUCAGGCCAUCACUGUAACUGGCACUUCUGCAGUCACUCAACAGGCUGAAAACAAAAUCCUCACCUCUGGCAUCUCAGAUGUCCUGGGCCUGCAACUGCAGCAGCAAGCCAGGACCCUGAGGGCACUGACAGCUACGUUACCCUGAACAGCCUCACCUGGGGCUCAGCCACACCUGCUGGCUCUAACUGAGGUCACCUCUGGGCAUCUAGAACCUUCUCAGAGCUGUUGGGCUGGUGCUUCACCACCUCUGUCUGCUGGAUGGACCUCAGCCAAGCCAAUGGUGUCCUUGACUGGCUUCCUUGUGGAAAAUAACCAAAUUUCGAGACGGCAGUUCCCAAGAGCGAUGAGUACUGUCUGUGCAUCGUCUGUACUGUGCCUACCAGGACGACUUCCAUCUGUGUGAGCUUCUGAAGGGCACCUGCGUGCCCCUGUCAAAUAGCAGAGCUGCAUCCUCAUCACCUUGUUCUCUCGAGAGCCAUCCAGCUGCCAGGUGCUGAGCAGUGAUGGUAAACCCCAAGGGCUCCAUCCUGUGUGGAGGGGAUGUCUCCAGCGCAGCGAGGUUCAGAAGGGAUGGAAGACCUAAUUUCACCCUGGGAUGGAAGACCCAAGAUAACCCCACAGCAGCACCUAGCAGAGGGUGCAGCAGGGGCAUGGCUAUGAUUUGUGAUCUGUGGCCAGACAGAUUUGGGAGUGACGCUGAAGAGCUCUUGAGCCGUGGUCAGUUGGACGCAGCGUUCCCCAGAAGAGCCAGGACCCCGCUGCCCAGGAAACGCUGCUUUUCCCUGGCGUUGCUGUGCCAGCUGGAGUGGAUUAAGGGAGGAAUCCCUCAUUUGGGAAGGGGGACUCCUUAAUCCCCGAAGGAUUUAAAGAUCCUAGAGAGAGUAAUCACAGCUGGAUUAGCGUCUGCUGGGGAGAACGGCAGGAGAGGGCAGUGUGGCACUGCCAGCCCCGAGCUCGGUCUUCACCCGUGUUUGCAGCUCCUUUUUCCUGCCCCGUGUCUUAGAUGUACACAGGCAGUUGAAAACACAAACCCCACAGAAAAGAAGACAUUACAAAAGCGUUUCCAUGUUCAAGCCAUGGGGGGUUUCCUCCAGGUGAGAGCUGUGUAAAACAUGGCUUGGGCAGGUGACAAAGGGGAGGGUUUGCUGCAGCUGUCCUUUUGGUGCUCCUGCAGUGCUUCUGCUGUAACAGACCGACCAAGCCGUUGGCCAGAGGAGGUGCCUGUUGACAGACACAAGCUGGUUAGGGCCAUCCCUGUGCUCCCCAGAGAUAAGCUGGAGCCAUGUGAGGACACCUGUAGGUAUUGCCCUGGGGACAGUUCCCCAGGACUGGGACUGUAACUUCUGUGGUUUGUGCUGAGUGUACCAAACCCAGCUUCUUCAGCAAGGUGCGACGUCUCUUGUUCAUUUCUUUGAAGCCCAAUCCCUAUCAUAUGGGGUUUUGGCACAGCUAUAAUAUAAGUAAAGCCUUUCUGCCAGCUGAGGCAUGUUCCUGCUGGGACAUCCUGCAGGAGACUUGGACCAUGUUGGCUUUUGCGACUGGCCCCAGUUAUCACCACUUAUUUUAUUACCAUUAUUCCCUUUGGGCAAUCUUGCAGGCCCUUUGGCAUGCUGCUCCAGCCUUGCAAGGGGGGGCUCAUCACCUUGGCUUUCGAUCCAUUUAUUAUGUUCCAAACAGUCUUCUUUGAGCGUGCCUUUGCUUUCAGUUUUCAGACCCUCUGCACCCCUUCCUGCAGGCCUUUGUUGCCCCCCGAUGCUCUCCUGGCUGGGGGUGAGUUUAAAUCUCUCUCCUUCUGCUGUAUGAACCCACUCUCUGAAAGUGACAUCACUGAUGAAGUAAAUGUCUCAGCACAGCAGAAAGGAAAGCAAUGUAAUAACAGAGCUGCCAGGAGCCCGGUGCCCUUUGCUUAAAUCACAGGAACAGACUGCAGCAAGGCAGGGGUCUGUUCUGAUCCACUGACAUUUCCAGUGUGAAUUGUGCACAGGACAGACUGUUUCAGCCAAGGUCCUCUUUAAAGCACUCAUUGCCUGAUAUCAAAAUGAAUUCAGUAAAUACCUCCAAGGAUGUGAUCCUCAAUCUCUGCCAUUCAGUGCUGGACCGAGGGACAGCAUUUUUCCCUUUCCCUCUGCACGUGCUCAGCCACGCUGCUGCCGACUGAGCUCUGUGUGCGUGCUACCAGUGCCUGCUGCCAGGGGACACUGCUUGAGGAGUUCCCGUGGUGUGGCUGGAGGUGUGCAAGCCUCUGACACCACGACUGGUUUGUUGUGUGUGCCAGAUGGGAUGGGUGGUCAUGGCCUGCUUUCUAAACCAGGUCGGCUGACAUUAGCAAGGCAAGCAGAGCAGGCAGCCUGCUGCUGCCUCCAGCUGUGCUCACAGGAGACCCUGAGUGGUACCAGCAGCAGGGCUGCAGGAGGAGCACAAGGUGUCCUGGCAAACCUGUGCACGGUUCUGCAGUAGCCUGCAGCAAUCCCGGUUUGCAGCAGGUCAUUCUCCAUCUCUCCUGGGGGGCCACCAGCGUAACUGCACAGCCUGCAGGGUGCUCGGAGGAGAUAAUGCUGCCCGAGAGUAACAGCUAACGGGGAGCAGUGGGAGACAGAUGAAGGAUUUUUAUUGCUGCCAUAUGCUUUAAAAACCCAUUCCCAAGGUAAAGGAACUCCUUUACCUUGGGAAUUUUAGUCUAACUUUAACAGAGCCAGGCUCGCAUUGCCAAGGAAGUAACCGCCUGCCGGUCCCUCGGACACCUUCCUGCUCCUGCGUGCGUUCCACAUCUCUUCAACGCACCCUGCCGAAUGUGGGCUCCUUCCUGAUUUUUCUUCCUUGAUCCAAUCAACGACUUUUCCGUGAGACGGGACACUCCUUUUCUUUGGAAAGAGACCACACAGACAGCCCAAGAGUUUUACUCCUUCAGGUCGCCUGUCUGCCAGAGGGCAUCCUGCCGAGAGGCAGGAGAUGGAUCAAAACCCACAUGGGAAAUCUUUCUGAAACUGCAGUGCUGGUGUCAGCAUCCUGUCCUUAACCCGCCAAGGUUAGCGCACGAAAGGCUGAAGCUGAUUUGUAAGCCAGCCUGCUGCUGGGGAAGGGCAGGGAAGUCUCAGCAAAGCCACUGGCCUUUAGCUCUGACUGCUAGAGGACACGAGGUGGCUUCUGGUGUCAGAGGAAGGAAAUGAGCGCUGGUAUCUUCAGCAAACUAAUUUCAGGCUUGUAGCAAUUCCCCUUUCCGUUUAAUAUAAUUAUCUCUGGUGUCUGCUUUACAACAAUGGCUUUGUACUGCUAAACCUUCGCUGCACAUUAGCAGAGGCAGCUGGAAUUUGAUUUUGGCUAUAGUGAGAAAUCUUAUUAUCCAGCACUGGGCAAAUCUCUCGAAUGCAGGAGCAUGUCAGGACGUAAAUUCAGGUUGCUCUGAUCAGUAUAAUUUUGAAGACUUAAGUUAGAGAGGGAGAAUAUAUUCAGGGUACUUUGAUACUGGCAAAGGAACUAUAGAAAAUGUUACACCAGGUGAUUGCAGUUACAUUAUUCUACAAUAUUAGCCUACCUAGGAUUUGCUGCAAAAACUUGUAAUCGAGAAAUGCCUUGGGUUGCCAAAUACUCCUAAUGCAGUCCUUUGUACGCUGCAGCGUAAGGGUGAAGUACAAGUGCACGUGGUCUCGGGUGAAGUGGUGGCUGGGCGGGAUCAGGGCAGGUGGCACAUCUGUAACAUGGCACCUGGGGAGGUGCAGAGCUCACUGAAACGGCAGGAGGCUGCACUGCCUGCCUUCGCCCCUCUUCUCGUUUGGGUAAAACUCCUGCUGGCUCCUUUGCCAUGCAGGAUGCCAAACUAAUUGUCACUCUUGGCAUUACAAUGUGUGUAGGACUCAGGGCUGGCCAUAUGCUGAAACAAAAGGAAGUAUUUCGGUUUGCGGUUUGGGGUGGGAGCUGGAGGCAUUCCCAGCGCCUGCCUCUUCUGACAGCUCGUGUCCCUUUGAAACCUGUCCAGCUUCGAAAAGAGCAGCAUCUGACCCUGCUGACUUUGCAGCAGUGUGCACAGAUGUAUGAACCCCACUGCACCGCUGCAAGUUCUGGGUCCUGCCCUCCCUGGAAAUCCCUGGGGUCUGCUUUUCUUCUGGAGCUGCUGUUAGAGGGAGGAGAGCUUGGUACCUGCUGGCUGGGGAGCCAGGCUCCUGGCAGCUGGGCAG